GCAGGGAAUAUUGCGCAAUGGGCGAAAGCCUGACGCAGCGACGCCGCGUGAGGGAUGAAGGCCUUCGGGUCGUAAACCUCUUUUCUCAGGGAAGAAUAAUGACGGUACCUGAGGAAUAAGUCACGGCUAACUACGUGCCAGCAGCCGCGGUAAUACGUAGGUGGCAAGCAUUAUCCGGAUUUAUUGGGCGUAAAGCGAGUGUAGGCGGUUUUUUCAAGUCGAGUGUGAAAUCUCCCGGCUCAACUGGGAGACGUCAUUCGAUACUGUGAGACUGGAGGGCAGCAGAGGAAGAUGGAAUUCCCGGUGUAGUGGUGAAAUGCGUAGAUAUCGGGAGGAACACCAGUGGCGAAGGCGGUCUUCUGGGCUGUUUCUGACGCUGAGGCUCGAAAGCGUGGGGAGCAAACAGGAUUAGAUACCCCAGUAGUCC
rnacentral:rRNA from 1 species